rnacentral:rRNA from 1 species
CAAGUCGAGCGAGCUUGCCUAGAUGAUUUUAGUGCUGACACUAAAUGAAACUAGAUACAAGCGAGCGGCGGACGGGUGAGUAACACGUGGGUAACCUGCCCAAGAGACUGGGAUAACACCUGGAAACAGAUGCUAAUACCGGAUAACAACACUAGACGCAUGUCUAGAGUUUGAAAGAUGGUUCUGCUAUCACUCUUGGAUGGACCUGCGGUGCAUUAGCUAGUUGGUAAGGUAACGGCUUACCAAGGCAAUGAUGCAUAGCCGAGUUGAGAGACUGAUCGGCCACAUUGGGACUGAGACACGGCCCAAACUCCUACGGGAGGCAGCAGUAGGGAAUCUUCCACAAUGGACGAAAGUCUGAUGGAGCAACGCCGCGUGAGUGAAGAAGGGUUUCGGCUCGUAAAGCUCUGUUGGUAGUGAAGAAAGAUAGAGGCAGUAACUGGCCUUUAUUUGACGGUAAUUACUUAGAAAGUCACGGCUAACUACGUG